GAGGUGUAGGGGUCUUGCACAGACCAGGGA
rnacentral:piRNA from 1 species